rnacentral:rRNA from 1 species
GUCCAAGCCGUAAACGGUGCACGUUUGCUGUGGGCGGAAUCGACCCCGUCCGUGGCGGAGCUAACGCGUUAAACGUGCCGCCUGGGGAGUACGGUCGCAAGAUUAAAACUCAAAGAAAUUGACGGGGCCUGCACAAGCGGUGGAGUAUGUGGCUCAAUUCGAUGCAACGCGAAGAACCUUACCUGGCCUUGACAUGCAUGUGGUAGAAGCCUGAAAGGGUGACGACCCCGCAAGGGGAGCAUGCACAGGUGCUGCAUGGCUGUCGU